rnacentral:rRNA from 1 species
AUUGAACGCUGGCGGCAGGCUUAACACAUGCAAGUCGAGCGGAGAUGAGGUGCUUGCACCUUAUCUUAGCGGCGGACGGGUGAGUAAUGUUUAGGAAUCUGCCUAUUAGUGGGGGACAACAUUCCGAAAGGGAUGCUAAUACCGCAUACGUCCUACGGGAGAAAGCAGGGGAUCUUCGGACCUUGCGCUAAUAGAUGAGCCUAAGUCGGAUUAGCUAGUUGGUGGGGUAAAGGCCUACCAAGGCGACGAUCUGUAGCGGGUCUGAGAGGAUGAUCCGCCACACUGGGACUGAGACACGGCCCAGACUCCUACGGGAGGCAGCAGUGGGGAAUAUUGGACAAUGGGGGGAACCCUGAUCCAGCCAUGCCGCGUGUGUGAAGAAGGCCUUAUGGUUGUAAAGCACUUUAAGCGAAGAGGAGGCUACUGAGACUAAUACUCUUGGAUAGUGGACGUUACUCGCAGAAUAAGCACCGGCUAACUCUGUGCCAGCAGCCGCCGUAAUAC